CUGUCAGGUAUUAUGCUGCAGCAUGGCUGUGAAUGUGGAUUAGGGAGAGAACAGCAGCCUUCCGCCUCUGCCAUGCAGAGACAGGACCACAUACAACCAAUACCAGCCUCAGUUCCUGGGAGAAUUCAGCUCAAACCCUCAACGUGAAGCAGGUAGAGCCUCUGAAUUUUGGUUAUACCAGCCAGGACCAUACCCCAAAGAGUGCAGUCACGAAGAAUCCACCUUCACAUGCCUUAGAAGCCUCCCUGACUGAGAAGGCAGGGCUGCCAAGCAGCCAGGAAGGGGUUAAGGGGCAACUUCACCCGGGGCUUUGCAGGCUUAAAAGGAAGGGGCGGGAGGGGUUCUUUCCUCUCGUAAUGGAGGGAAGACUGUGAUGUGUCUGCGGCUCUGCAGAGCUGGAAGUUAGUGUGGCUUUUUCCAUGCCGAAGUUCCAGCAACCUGCUGGCAAGAUUGCUGUGAGCCAUGGUCCGAGUCUCAGUGCUAUCUGGAGAUGGGGAUGCUCUCUACCAACGAAGGGGACACCUGAACCCAGGUGCACUGCUCAGAAGUUUCAGGAAAAGCACGCUGAUUUCCUUUCUGCCUGGAGUGAAGCUUGGUGUGCAUGGGGAUGCUCAGAGACAGGAUUUAAGAAAGGCAAAGGCAUCCCGAAUCCUUCGUGCUCCCUGGGAACACACAAGCACAACUGCUCUCUGUCACAAUCAGUUCUGGGAUUGCUGCUCCCUCCCAUUUUUCCCAUGGUGGAUUCCAGUCUGACCACAAACUGCAGAUCUUGUUCUGUUUAUUGGUUGCAGGAUGACCAAGAGUCCUGAGGAGGGCUCCUUGCUGCAGGAUGGUCCUCGCUGCCCAGUGUGCAGGUGCUUGUAAAACCACAGGCUGUGAGCGUGGUAUUAGCAAGCAUUAGUGGAGCUUUUGUGUCAUCUCCAGGGAAGAGCUGAGCACAUUGAAGGCAGAAGACAGAUGUCAUUCAGAGGUUAAGUCACUCCUGGACAUGUUCAGAGCUCGUAACUACAGCUGGGGUUGAAACUUUUUGUCCAAAACUUUUCUUUCAUU
rnacentral:lncRNA from 1 species